GUGUGGCCAAGUGCCUUAGGCUGCUGAAGUGCCAGAUGAACACAUCCUAGGAACUGACUUCCGGGGUUUUCGGGUUCCUACCUCAUGGGAACUGCUAGGAGAAUUUGUGGGGCCCUCUUCCCCAUUCUGACAAAAGCAAACCUGCACUGCGCUCAGACAGUACUUAGAGGUGCACAGUACACAGACCCCCAUCACAAGGGUGUGUGGGGCCCCAGAGGCACGCAUCCACCGCUCCGCUAUGUGCCUGCUAAAGGGCUCUGUGUGGAGGCCCCAGCCCCUCCCUGUCCCCUCCAGCCCUGAACACUCUGUCAGCCGCUCCUCUCAGUCCUUACCCUCUAGUCAAGUUCCUGGCACCCUAGGUUCUUGAGCUUAAUGCUAGGACACUCCCACUGAGGGCCAGAGAGGGAAAGGGGCUUGUAUGAAGUCACCUGCUCGUCAGGGCAGGGCCUGGGUCUGCGCCCACUGGGUAUGUUUGCUGAGGACCUGGCCUCCCUCCUGAGGGCCUUCCCUGAUGCUGCCCCUGCCCUGCAGGCAACUUGUACUUAAACCAACACUCCCAUGAAGGUGCCUGGGCCACACCUUUCAGCACAUUCUGGUUCCUCUGGUGAAUACUCUGCUUCCCUGCUCAGCCCUCUGGGCUUCCUCCUUAUUUAUUUUUUCUUUCUUUUUUAAAAAUUGAGGUAUGAAUUUACAUACAGUAAAAUGCAUAGAUCUUGAAUGUGCAUGCAGUUCAGUGAGUUUUGAUAAAUAAUACACAUCCAUGUAACCAACAUGCAGAUCAAGGUAGAGAACAUUUCAAAUGACCAAGAAAAGAUUUUCCUUUUUGUAAUGGCUUUGUUGUUUUGUAAAGGUGCACAUACUAAAGUGUUCACAGAAGUUCAAAGAAAAGAGUAAAACUUUGUUGAAACCUCGGCACCCAGAGAAGUAUCUGAGGUUAAUGGUUUGACAGAUGUCAUGUCCUUCCAGAAAGAGCUCUGUGCAGAUCUCACACACACCUGGCUUCCUGGAUAGUUGAUGCCACCUGCACAGGGAGGCACGUAGCUGAGGAGCUGGGAUGGACGGCUUUGAGUCAGACCUGGCUUCCAGUCCCAGCUCCACCAUUUUUCUAGCCAGAGUAAAAUACCUUGACAUGAGGCCUUGACAUUCAGUUUUCUCAUUUGCGAACAGGGUGUAAUGAUAGGUCCUAUCUCUGGAGGUUGGGGAGCAGGAUCAGUAAGGCCCACAGGUACCCUGUGCCCAGCUUAGCGCCUGGCUCAGAGAAGUGGGAACAGCUGGUAGCUAUUGCUCAGAGAAGCAGCCUUCUGUCUUAAGGAUGUGACAUAAUGUAUCUGACUCCCGAAUGAAAUGUCUAGAGGUCCUUCCAGCCGCAGCUAGAGUGGACACUCUUGCCCUCAUCGGUCUUCCUAGAGCCAGGUUUAAGGUUUCCAGGGCCCUUCCCUCCUUGCCCCUUUGCCCCUGCCCAGGCAUCCUUACCUGAGCUUCUCUUCUUGUCCUUGGGAAGGCCCAGUCUGUGAUGGGCUUGGGUGGGCACUGCCCCUGGUGGAGGGCCCCCUCCCCUAAUCCCUGGGCAGCCGUGUCCUGUCAGCAAAGCCCACCUCCAUCCUCCCCAGCCCCUAAUUUGUGCCCUUGCUUCUAGGAGCUGGACAUGUCCCCUGGGGACCCCAAGUGGCUGGACGUGAUUGAGCGUGACCUGCACCGGCAGUUCCCAUUCCAUGAGAUGUUUGUGUCCCGGGGGGGCCACGGCCAGCAGGACCUAUUCCGUGUGCUGAAGGCCUACACGCUGUACCGGCCCGAGGAGGGCUACUGCCAGGCCCAGGCGCCCAUUGCCGCUGUCUUGCUCAUGCAUAUGCCUGCUGAGGUACCACCAGGCCCCGGGCAGGCAGGGGGGUGGGUGGGGAACCCCCAACGGCAAGGCCUCACAUCUCUCUUGCCCACAGCAAGCCUUCUGGUGCCUGGUACAGAUCUGUGAGAAGUACCUGCCCGGCUACUACAGCGAGAAACUGGAGGCGAUCCAGCUGGACGGGGAGAUCCUUUUCUCGCUGUUGCAGAAGGUGUCACCGGUGGCCCACAAGCACCUCAGCCGUCAGAAGAUCGACCCGCUCCUCUAUAUGACAGAAUGGUUCAUGUGCGCCUUCUCCCGAACCUUGCCCUGGAGCUCUGUGCUGCGUGUCUGGGACAUGUUCUUCUGUGAAGGGGUCAAGAUCAUCUUCCGGGUGGGGCUGGUGCUGCUGAAGCACGCGCUGGGCUCCCCUGAGAAGGUCAAAGCCUGCCAGGGCCAGUACGAGACCAUCGAGCGACUGCGGAGCCUCAGCCCCAAGAUCAUGCAGGAGGCCUUUCUGGUCCAGGAGGUGGUGGAGUUGCCCGUGACAGAGCGCCAGAUUGAGCGCGAACACCUCAUCCAGCUGCGGCGCUGGCAGGAGACCCGGGGUGAGCUGCAGUGCCGCUCCCCGCCCAGGCUGCAUGGUGCCAAGGCUAUCUUGGAUGCAGAACCUGGUCCCCGGCCUGCCCUACAACCUUCACCAUCCAUCCGCCUGCCCCUAGAUGCCCCCCUCCCUGGCUCCAAAGCCAAGCCCAAGCCACCCAAGCAGGCCCAGAAGGAGCAGCGGAAACAGAUGAAGGGGAGAGGGCAGCUGGAGAAGCCCCCAGCCCCAAAUCAAGCCAUGGUGGUGGCCGCUGCAGGAGAUGCAUGUCCCCCACAGCAUGUGCCCCCAAAGGACUCAGCCCCCAAGGACUCAGCCCCUCAGGAUUUGGCUCCCCAGGUCUCAGCCCACCACCGCUCCCAGGAGAGCUUGACGUCCCAAGAGAGUGAGGACACCUACUUGUAACCCUGGCAGCUAAGGCCUCCAGGGCGGGGUCUCCAUAUAACUACACGGUUCAUGAACUGACAUUCCACAUCCUGCCCACCCUCUGAGGGCCAAGCUGCCUGGCCACUGGGCUGGGCUGGAGUCUGGCUGGUCCAACACAGAUUCUGCCUGGUCCAACACAGAUUCUGCCUGAGCCUCCUUAUUUAUUUUCUUUACAGUGGCACUCAGGCUGGCCCAGCCAGGGCAGGCAGAAGCUAGGGCCUGGGGGGUGGGGCCUCCUUCAGCCCCCUCCUCCUGGGGGGAUGCUCCCCAGGGUUAGGGUGCUGGUGUGAGGGGAAAGGGUGGGGUGUUCUUUGUGUAAAAUAGAAACAUGGUUUUGUACAGAAAUAAACAGCCUUGUAUAGAG
rnacentral:sRNA from 1 species